GAUCCUCUCUCCGCCUCUCGGCCGCCGGCAAAUUCCCGCCGCUGCCAGCGGUCUCCGGCGCCGCCCAACACUCCCUCGAGGUCUCCUCGAUCCGGUCUAUCUUUCUUCUCCAUCCACUCGAUUCGACGCUCGCCUCCUCCUCCUGCGCUCGUGGCUAACCCUAGGCGCAGCUGUCGUCGGCGCGUCUCCGACGCCUCUUGGCGCUCACCGAGGCCGUCGAACGCGAGGGCACGUACUCCCGGCUGCGGUGGUGCUUCUUGAUCUGCGCCCUCUUGAGAGGAGUCAGCACCCAUAUGGUUGGUCUCCGGCAUGCUCGAGGCCACCGCCAGACGGAGCACGCCGUCGCCACCGCACGUUCUUCCUCCUUCGUAACCGGUCCUCUGCCCAUUCCCUCUUCUCCCCACGGGAUAGCCAGCAGCCCACCUUGUGCUUGAGUCAUGGAGAGGCAGGUGGCAGGUGUGGAUGAGGAGAUCCACCACAGAGGACGCGAGGUGAGAUGGGAAAAAGAUGCAAGGUUGUUGGCUUGUCCAUGCUGCUGGUGCUGAUGCGGACACCAUGGCCGCCGUUUCCUCUGCACACCGAUUGGCCAUCCCAGAGAACUCGUCGAAGAUAAUCCAUGCCAUCGCGUGGCAUCGAUCUCCAUCGCCCUCGUCCUAUAGGAGCGAGCUGGGAGCAAGCUCGAACAGUUUGUCGUGGACAUAGAAGAGUGAGACUAAUAAGAGGCAUAUAUUCGAUGACUACGGUGGGAUGAAGUCGGGAAGUCACUCGCAGACGUUAGGGAGAUUGUAUGCCUGGGAGAAGAAACUGUAUGAAGAAGUCAAGCUGAGGAACCAAGACGCCAAAAGUGCACAGCUGCACUGUGCUGAAAAAACCUUGACAAAUGUAAGAGACCUGUACUGUACAUAAGGAUCUGGGUUUCUUUACGAGCAGCAGAAUCGAGACCUGUAGACUAGAAAAAUUACGGGACGGGGAGCUCAGUGUCAAGAACAAGACUCAGGUUAGUUUGGUGUUCUUUCAUGUG